rnacentral:rRNA from 1 species
AGAGUUUGAUCCUGGCUCAGAACGAACGCUGGCGGCGUGGAUAAGACAUGCAAGUCGAACGAGAGAAUUGCUAGCUUGCUAAUAAUUCUCUAGUGGCGCACGGGUGAGUAACACGUGAGUAACCUGCCCCCGAGAGCGGGAUAGCCCUGGGAAACUGGGAUUAAUACCGCAUAGUAUCGAAAGAUUAAAGCAGCAAUGCGCUUGGGGAUGGGCUCGCGGCCUAUUAGUUAGUUGGUGAGGUAACGGCUCACCAAGGCGAUGACGGGUAGCCGGUCUGAGAGGAUGUCCGGCCACACUGGAACUGAGACACGGUCCAGACACCUACGGGUGGCAGCAGUCGAGAAUCAUUCACAAUGGGGGAAACCCUGAUGGUGCGACGCCGCGUGGGGGAAUGAAGGUCUUCGGAUUGUAAACCCCUGUCAUGUGGGAGCAAAUUAAAAAGAUAGUACCACAAGAGGAAGAGACGGCUAACUCUGUGCCAGCAGCCGCGGUAAUACAGAGGUCUCAAGCGUUGUUCGGAAUCACUGGGCGUAAAGCGUGCGUAGGCUGUUUCGUAAGUCGUGUGUGAAAGGCGCGGGCUCAACCCGCGGACGGCACAUGAUACUGCGAGACUAGAGUAAUGGAGGGGGAACCGGAAUUCUCGGUGUAGCAGUGAAAUGCGUAGAUAUCGAGAGGAACACUCGUGGCGAAGGCGGGUUCCUGGACAUUAACUGACGCUGAGGCACGAAGGCCAGGGGAGCGAAAGGGAUUAGAUACCCCCUGUAGUCCUGGCAGUAAACGGUGCACGCUUGGUGUGCGGGGAAUCGACCCCCUGCGUGCCGGAGCUAACGCGUUAAGCGUGCCGCCUGGGGAGUACGGUCGCAAGAUUAAAACUCAAAGAAAUUGACGGGGACCCGCACAAGCGGUGGAGUAUGUGGCUUAAUUCGAUGCAACGCGAAGAACCUUACCUGGGCUUGACAUGUAAUGAACAACAUGUGAAAGCAUGCGACUCUUCGGAGGCGUUACACAGGUGCUGCAUGGCCGUCGUCAGCUCGUGUCGUGAGAUGUUUGGUUAAGUCCAGCAACGAGCGCAACCCCUGUUGCCAGUUACCAGCACGUGAAGGUGGGGACUCUGGCGAGACUGCCCAGAUCAACUGGGAGGAAGGUGGGGACGACGUCAGGUCAGUAUGGCCCUUAUGCCCAGGGCUGCACACGUACUACAAUGCCCAGUACAGAGGGGGCCGAAGCCGCGAGGCGGAGGAAAUCCUAAAAACUGGGCCCAGUUCGGACUGUAGGCUGCAACCCGCCUACACGAAGCCGGAAUCGCUAGUAAUGGCGCAUCAGCUACGGCGCCGUGAAUACGUUCCCGGGUCUUGCACACAC